rnacentral:lncRNA from 1 species
UACAGAUUCCUUCAUGUUUUAGUAACUUCAUAUGCCUGUUUUUAACAUCUAGAGGCCGACACAAGAUUCAGAAAGCCAACCCAAUGAUAACAAUGCCAAAUAGAGAUUAAUGAUCCCUACAAAGAACCAUUUCAUCAGCUAUAAUAAACUAGGCCAAACACGCCUUGAUUCUCAGUAGACCAAGUGUAGCAACCCGAUGAGCUUAGACAAGUUUAUAUAGGUUUUGGUAGAAAGAAUGAUUAUCCAUAUAUAUUUAUAGCUUCCACUUCCCCCAUAUACAACAAGAAAAUGAUG